rnacentral:rRNA from 1 species
UACGUAGGCAGCGAGCGUUGUUCGGAGUUACUGGGCGUAAAGGGUGUGUAGGCGGUUUUCUAAGUUUGGUGUGAAAUCUCCCGGCUCAACCGGGAGGGUGCGCCGAAAACUGGGAGACUAGAGUGCGGGAUGGGAGAGUAGAAUUCCUGGUGUAGCGGUGAAAUGCGUAGGUAUCAGGAGGAAUACCGGUGGUGUAGACGGCUCUCUGGACCGCCACUGACGCUGAGACACGAAAGCGUGGGUAGCAAACAGG